GAAGAAACCAAGCGCCUUCUCCUACAGAUUGCUGGUCAUAAAAAUCUUCUUGAAGCAGACCCAUACUUGAAGCAAAGACUUCGACUUCGUGAUGCCUAUAUCACAACCCUGAAUGUCUGCCAAGCUUACACUCUGAAGCGGAUUCGUGAUCCUGACUACCAUGUAACGGUCAGGCCACACUUGUCAAAAGAAUACAUGGAAUCAAAACCAGCUGCAGAGCUUGUCAAGCUUAACCCUACGAGUGAGUAUGCUCCUGGCCUGGAAGACACCCUCAUUUUGACCAUGAAGGG
rnacentral:misc_RNA from 1 species